GCUCAGAGCCAGGGUCUCUGCUGGGGUCAGCGUCUGUACGCUAAAGCCAGGGCGCAAAGUGCGUGGGCACUGCGGACACUAGAGGCUUAUGGCGCUGGAAAUACAAGGCCGAGUUGCCGGCGCAAAGAGUUCCCCGGGCGGGUUGGUGAUGCGGCGCGCUUUGAUAACAGGUUAAUCCGGCCAACAUUCGCUCCGCGAGAGAGCCAUCGGAGGGCUCCGGGAGACUGCGGCGCCACGGAGGGAGAGGCGGCGAGAGGCCCCUCUGCGAGCACCCUCUGGGCGCAGUGCGGUGGGCUAUGCUCUGCGCAGCCCCGGGCGCGCCUGGGUUCUCAGAGCCCAAGACCUGAGCCGCUCCGAGCGCAGGGCGCCAGUUCUCUUUCAGAAGCGGGAGAAGUUCAGGUGCCCAACACCUUGAUCAGUGCCUGCUUUGUAGUAGGCAUUCAAAUACUGUGGACUGGAUGAAUGGAGUCACUUCCCUUCCAACCUGCACACCAACGUGGUUGAACUGCCUCCUUUCUAAGUGCCAAAGUCUGUUUUACAAGGCUGCCCUGCUGUGCCCAUCUGGGCACCCAGUCCAGCCUCCCUUCCUGGGCGCCUUGACUCCCAACUGCAGAUGAAGUGUCUGGAAAUCAUGGUACUCAAGGUAGGAUCCACAUUGCCUGCCGGCCUAGGACCAAGAUCUGCAAGUCAGAACGAAACACCAGCUGUCCCUGUCUCCUGCACCCAUCCCCAUCCCGGUGAGUGAAGACACAGAACCGAGGACGAACCCGGAAAGCCCUCUUCUCACAGCCCCAAGAGGCAGGAAGAGAAGUGUGUGUGCAGCGGAGGCCCUGUGGCCCGGCAGCGUCUCUCGGGUUUUGAGAUACAUAAUCUAAAUAUAUACUUUGAAAAUUGAAAAGUGCUCACAUAUAGAAUGUGGCUGCGGGGAGAGGAUGCUCUCUUUGAACAUGUCUCUUUAAAGACAAAAUUUGCAAAGUGUUUUCCUGCCCUUAAGGAGACACUUAAACAUGGCAGAAGAUGUAAAAUGGAAAUUGAAGUGUCUCUCCCAGGCCACCAUACACGGAUCAAACAGGCACGGUCUAUUCUAAGCGUUCAUUAAUAGCUGGUCUCUGAGGGCCUGGGCAGCAGCCAGAGGAUUUUACUCAUUAAAAAGGUGGCAAGGGACACCUGGCUUGUCCCUGAUAGGACUUGAGUUGGCCUGUAGAAAUGCAUCCUGUACAUCCACAAAUGUAAGGGAAAUAAGGCAGGAAAAUAAGUUCGAGUGAGGACUCACUGCACAACAGGAUAUCAAAGGAGCAUUACAAAAUAUUGUCUAACAGAAGUACCAGGGCUGGAUCCCAAAGUUUUGUGUAGAUCUUGAUAAAGAGUUUGGAUUUUAUUCUAACAAGAGUGAAGAGCAUGACAAUGUUUGCAGAAGAGUGAUGGCUUCUUUCAGGCAACAGUGACAAUUACACCUCCUCUUUUUCUCUUUGAUCCUCCACCCUCUCCCUCCAGCACCUGGUACAAAGCUGGGUACCCAGCAGACACUCUGUAAAUUAAAGUGCUGCCAGCCUGAACAAUCUCAGUGGAAGAGCUAAGUGGGUCCAUUUCCUUGCUUUACAAAUGAAGUCGCUGAGGCUCAGAGGGGUUAAGUUCUUUUCCUGAGCUAGGUAAUAUCUGGUUAAGUAAGAUCUGAUAAGUGUGUGUGUGUGUGUGUGUGUGUGUGUGUGUGUGUGUGUGUGUGUGUCUGUGUGCUUGGACAGGGGGUGCUUCCGCCUUUCACUGCCCCAAUAGGAGUCAGUCCUGUUCCUUUUCACUUCUCUACUUGAUGCUCUACCCACCGGCCUCAGGCCAUAUGCCCUGGUCCACCCUGCUCACAGAACUUCCCGCCUGGCCCCUGUUACCUGACCGAUGCCACAGGCAUCACUGGGUCCCAGGAGCCAGCCUCUUUACUUUUGGACCCCAGGCCAGGAUCUAAAAAUAUCUCUGAGUAUUUCCAACACCUACAACAGAUGCGCCUGCAAAUUACCUGGUCCCAGUGGUGGGGAGCAGGGGAGGAAAGGGCAUCGUUGUUCUAAAAGCAUUACACAUUUAAUUUGCAAAGUUACAUCAUGCAUUUGUGCACAGGUCAACUUUCUAGGAGUCGAUUUCGAAAACAGAGACAGGUUGAGGAUCCUGAGGGUGUUCUUUGCAGAGAAGGCAGGGGAGGUUGUGGAGGCCUGUCAGAUGCUUUCACACACUCAAGGCCAGUACUCCUCUUCCCUCUCAUAGAUGAGAAAUGAUGGACAUUCAUGGGGUCCUUUCUCUGCGUGUGCCAGGUACCUCUGCAGACACCAUUAUAUUUCUUUCUGAGAUCAACCUUGCAGAGUGUGCCUUGGUGUCAUCCUCAUCUUACAGGUGUGGAAGCUGAGGCCUAAUGAGGCCAUGUGUCUUCCGUUCCCCUUAUACACCAUGGGACAUGGGGCAGAGCAUAAGCUUGAACCCCGGUCUCUAGGUUUUUUUCUACCACACAGUGCAGUGAGAGACAUGAAGGGGGUUGAUGUGUAUGGAAUACAUAUACAUGCGCAUCCAGCUAUACUUUUAAAAAAAUUAUUAUUGGAUGGGUCUGGGUUCUCUAUUUUAUAAGUGACACAUACAACUAUUGAACCCAUGUGAGAUUAUAGCCAGGAGUGCAUAAAAAACUGUCCUCAGAACAAGUUGAAUGGGAAGUUGGUAAAAACGAAUAAGGUUGAGUUCACUCCACAGCCCCACAGAUGCAACUGAUUUAAUUGACCAAAUAGUUUUCUUGAAUUACUGUUGUUAAUUUAAGAGUUUAAAAAAAUUAACUUGAGAGUAGUUUUGUGUGCUAACCGGAUGAUUUAGAAGGUUAUUUGGUUGAUAAAAUGAAUCCUUGAUACAUUAUAGUUAUAAAGUUAAAACCCUAUUCCUUACUUAUGCUUCUAA
rnacentral:lncRNA from 1 species